rnacentral:lncRNA from 1 species
CACAAUACUAAUUUAAUUAGGUCUUUCCACUUUUCGUGGAAAGACCUUUUGUUUUUCUUCUGCCGUCUGAGAUGCUUUUUUGUCUUACAACAUAUCGAAUGGAUUUUUGGCCAAUGAUGUUGUACAGUAAUGGGGUUUUCAAAACUCACCCUGUGUGACCGAACACUUAUCCUUAUAGGAGUUAUCUCCCCGCGUCCCUUUUUUCUUGUUAUCGCUAUAUCUCUAAAACCGUAAAAGAUUUUAGCAAACUGUUUUCACCAAAUUGUUUGUCUAUUCUUUAGAAUGAUUUGGUUAAUUUUGA